rnacentral:ncRNA from 1 species
UCGCAAUUCAUUUUAUACAUGAUAACCUAAGUUAUGUUAUUUGAAAGUGAGAAUCAGCACCAAUAAUUACAUGCUUAAUCGUUUGUGAUGAAUAAUAAGCGUAUACGUACCUCAACAUAACCAACAAUAUAAUCACACUGAGGCAAUCGACCAUAUAAAAUUUUACGGUAAUCUCAGUAAAAUGAGGUGGGCGAACUUAAAAAAUACGAAGAAGGAGUUCCGGGGAACCCAUCAGAAAUUGCCACAGCGAACGGUUUAUACGUCCACAGGGCGGGGUAUUGGGUAUAGUUUUCAACUAGCAAUAAACACGCCUCGGAUGAACCUCAUCAGCUAUGUUACUGCCACUGCGCAAAGCUGGCGAGCAAACUAAAGUAAAAUGGUAUUCAACCUGCCAAUCAGCCUUUAAUUUGUGGGCGUUGUGAUAUGGCUUGUACCAGAAUAAUCAUGGCAUUCACGAUAUUUUAUUUGUCAUGACACUAUUUCAGAACCUAAACUUAAAUUACACUUCGGAAAAACAGGAUUGAUAGGGAUAUGCAAACCAUGUUGGUAAAGAGAGCCGAAUAAUUAGCGCUAACCCGGUCAAAAUUUAUAGAUACCUUUCUAAUUUUUCGGUGCUACAGGCCCGGUGCGCGCAAGGGUCGCCGCCCGGUCGAGGAGAGAUGCGCGCCGCACCUGCCCCGUUCGCGGGGCCGGGGAAGCCGUUCGAGCAGCGUCGUGUCGCGGUCCGGGACUGUCCUCAGUCCCGGGUCGUCUCGGCGCGGUUCCGAGCGGUCGCUCCCUCGCGAGGUGCCGCGGGUCAGCGGCUGACGCCAGCCACCUUCCCGACCCGUCUUGAAACACGGACCAAGGAGUCUAACAUGUGCGCGAGCCGCGGGGCAGUACGAAACCCGUAAGGCGAAAUGAAGGUGAACGCCGGCGCGGUCCGGCGGAGGUUGGAUCCCGUCCCGUCGGGGCGGGCGCACUACCGGCCGAUCUUCUCCGCCCUGUCGGCGAGGUCGAGCGAGAGCGUGCAAGUCGGGACCCGAAAGAUGGUGAACUAUGCCUGAGGAGGUUGAAGCCAGAGGAAACUCUGGUGGAGGACCGUAGCGAUUCUGACGUGCAAAUCGAUCGUCAAAUUUGGGUAUAGGGGCGAAAGACUAAUCGAACCGUCUAGUAGCUGGUUCCCUUCGAAGUUUCCCUCAGGAUAGCUGGCGCUCUGUCGCAGUUUUAUCUGGUAAAGCGAAUGAUUAGAGGUCUUGGGGGGCGAAACGCCCUCAACCUAUUCUCAAACUUUAAAUUGGUAAGAA